rnacentral:rRNA from 1 species
UGGGGAAUCUUGCACAAUGGGGGAAACCCUGAUGCAGCGACGCCACGUGAGCGAUGAAGGUUUUCGAAUCGUAAAGCUUUGUCCUAUGGGAAGAUAAUGACGGUACCAUAGGAGGAAGCCCCGGCUAACUACGUGCCAGCAGCCGCGGUAAUACGUAGGGGGCGAGCGUUGUCCGGAAUUACUGGGCGGAAAGGGUUCGCAGGCGGCAUGACAAGUCCGAUGUAAGAGGCGACAGCUCAACUUUCGUAAGUAUCGGAAACUGUCGAGCUUGAGUGAAGGAGAAGCAAGUGGAAUUCCUAGUGUAGCGGUGGAAUGAGUAGAUAUUAGGAGGAAUACCGGUGGCGAAAGCGGCUUGCUGGACUUCAACUGACGCUGAGGAACGAAAGCGUGGGUAGCAAACAGG